rnacentral:rRNA from 1 species
GACGAACGUGUCCAACGUUGUUCGGAAUCACUGGGCUUAAAGGGCGCGUAGGCGGUCUGGUAAGUCGGGGUGGAAUCCUGCAGCUCAACUGUAGAAGUGCCUUCGAUACGUGCCAGUCUGGAGGGAGAUAGGGGUGUGUGGAACUUCCAGUGGAGCGGUGAAAUGCGUUGAUAUUGGAAGGAACGCCGGAGGCGAAAGCGACGCACUGGAUCUCUUCUGACGCUGAGGCGCGGAAAGCUAGGGGAGCAAACGGG